rnacentral:lncRNA from 1 species
UUUACUUAGACUUUUGAUGACUUGGUGCAUUUAGUUUACGUCGCCACACAGAUUUGGUAGUAGCCAUCAACCAUCAUGUCUUCUGGCCUGCAGCUUGCCAACCUCGCAUGUUCGAACUUCGAACCCAAGACGCCACUGCUUCUUCUAGGUCCCGCAGCUUGAUCCCGCCAAGGUAACCAUCUGUCCUCUCCCAUAUUGGACAAAUUUUGUAGGUUAAGUAAUGAGAUUUUAUUCUUGGUGUUGUUGAGGAAGUCUUUGGCGUCUUGGCAUGUAGUUUUAGUGACAUGUGGUUAUAAUUAGUCAGCCGAGUAACCCACAUAGGCUGUUAAUCUGAAGUCAAAUUACACAUUACUUUUCAAUUUUUUCUUCUAGGGAUUAUUGAGUACCCUGUACUUAUCUCUGCAUCUAUUCUCGGUGUCAUUUUCUGAAUUUGGUAAGGUGCAUAUUUUUUGGCAAAUAGAGCAGGCUGGAGGAGGAAGCAGAGAGGGAGAUGGGAGAGGGAGAGGAGAUCUCGGCCUGCACACUGCACCUCACGUCUCCCACAAGCUACAACAAUGGGAGAACCGUAUACACAGCAUCCUUCUCAAAGCCUGCAGCUACUGCCUCCCCAAGCAAUGCCAACCUGCAGCAACAAGGUGAGCUACGCUCUCUUUAUGUAAUACAUAUUUCAUUCUAUUAUGUCCCUCUCUUUAAUCUUCCGAUAGUGAAUAGGUUGGAUUAUAAUAGAAAUAGCUGAUUUGAUUAUCCCUUGAAAGAAAUAUCUCCUAUGCAGUCCUAAGGUGAAGUAAACAAUGGGUUUUUGGGACAAAGCAAAGAGCAUCAUAAAUGAAAAAUAAAUAAAAUUGUGUCUAAACAAUCACACUAUUUCUAUUACCAUCUAACCGGUGCUCUUUUCAUUAUCUGAUGAAUGAGAUAGAAUAGUUGUAGCUGCUUAAUUCAUUUGUGAUCAAUCAUGGUUUGUCAUUUUUCGUUGCAGGCUUCAUAUAAUUAUAGUUGCAACUAAUAAGGUCGUCAAUUUUACUGAGGUCCAUAAGAUAAUAAUAUCUCCAUUAAGAUGUGCAAUGAAACAUCGAAGGUAUGCCCGUAUGUUUCAUCCAGAUUCUUUUUAAAUGCCUCCCAUUUGAGUGCAUGCUUUAGGGAGAAGCCUAAUUUUUUAAUUUAAACUAUGGAAUGUGGUCACCUAAAUGAGAAUAUUCUAAUUGGUCACCUCAUUUUUUGUUUUCAAUAUUAUAAUGUAUUCUAAUUGUGAGAUAUGAUCCACUGUCAUAUUAUGCAAGUUAUUUCUAACGCAUUCUGAUCAUAUCCUAUAUACAUAAGAAGUUGAUCCCCACUAUCUUAUUUAUCUUAACAUGCACACAUGCCACCUCAUCAAAGGUCCACCACUACAUGCAUGAGAAAAUGUUUUCCAUUAUUAGUUGAUCUCAUGCACACCUUUCACCUCACCACACAUGCCACCUCAUCAAAGGUUCACUCAAAAUGCAUAAUUUUUUUUCAUUACAUUAUGCCACUUAUAUUAAAAAUCUAACUACACAAUAAUCAAAUAUAAUAUAUAAUAUUUAAUUUUAGCUUAGUUCAUAUUUUUUGGCGGAAUUAGUUAUUAAUUCAACUAUGGAAGUUUCAUACAAUUAAAUCACUAAAAUAUAGUGCAAUCGGUUCCCGCAGCAACGCGCGGGGUAUUCUCUAGUUUUUAUAAUAGCUGCUCCUAUAUUUUUGUCAGUGCUUGUUGUACUUUUUUUAAAUGUUUCUUGGUAGGAUCAGUUGUAAAUAGUGGAUGAAUGCAUACCUUUUCGACCUUAAGCAUUUGGUUAUGGUGAUGUGGUGUUUUCUCUUUACAGAUGAUCCUUCUUCUUUCUUUUUUAUUAAAUAGACAAGUUGGAUCCAGUGUGUAUCCAUAUGUCCAUAUGUGCUUUGGGUGAAUAUGAAAUGAAAUAUGGGAAAGUGGGCCUCUAUUAGACAUUGUAGCAUGUGUCAAAAUAUAACCAACUUUGCAGUGUGUCGAAACAUAACCAACUUCUUUCACAGGAUUCUUUGCUAGCAAUUAAAAUAUCCUGAGCAAUCUGGAAAAGAGAUAGCUUAAAUCGAUGCAUGUGUAAUUAACUCCAUAUAUUAUUUGGAGGAAGCGUUCAAUACAUGCAUGUUUUCUCAAAUUAGGUUGCCCCUGUUGUGUAUAUAAAUGUGAUGCUUCCUUCCAUGACUAAACAGGCUGAUGAGACCUUGUGGUUCCUUUUCCUUUUAAAUUUCAGAGGCUUACAUCCUUGUGAUUCCUCAUGACUCGGAAGGAGGAGCGCGGGCC